rnacentral:rRNA from 1 species
CAAAAACAUCGCCUCUUGAAUAAAAUAAGAGGUCCAGCCUGCCCAGUGAAAUUAUUCAACGGCCGCGGUAUCCUAACCGUGCGAAGGUAGCGUAAUCACUUGUUCUUUAAAUGAGGACUAGUAUGAAUGGCACCACGAGGGUUCUACUGUCUCCUUUUUUUAAUCAGUGAAACUAAUCUCCCCGUGAAGAAGCGGGGAUCUUUAUAUAAGACGAGAAGACCCUAUGGAGCUUUAAACAACCAACAUUUGCUACACCAUAACAUUUCCCCUAAAAGAAGUAUAGCAUUAUGAUUAUUAGUUUUCGAUUGGGGUGAUCACGGAGUAAAAUAUAACCUCCAUGCCGAAAGGGUUCUUACCCUGAGCAAAAAGCCACAGCUUUAAGCACUAAAAAAUUAACGCAGUUUGACCCAAUAUUUUGAUCAACGAACCAAGUUACCCUAGGGAUAACAGCGCAAUCCACUUCAAGAGCUCCUAUCGACAGGUGGGUUUACGACCUCGAUGUUGGAUCAGGGUAUCCAAGUGGUGCAGCCGCUACUAAUGGUUCGUUUGUUCAACGAUUAAAACC